AAAGAUUUAUUGCGGAACUGUUAAAAUGUCUGCGCCCAUAGAUUUUUGUUGUUGGUCAUAGAAACAUUGUUUUAUUCCUUUUCUGUUUUCGCUAGAUAAUAUAAUGACGAGUUACAAAGGAUGCUAAAGUGGAUUCUCAAGAAAUGGAAGCAAUACAGAUAUCGUUUUGUUCCAUGGAUUGCUUUUAACUUGAAAGACAGAACUGUCAGGAGUGUUCCAUCUCAAGAUGAUCAGGUCAUUUCUUCAGCACAAAUCAACACUUUUCUCUUACAGUUUUUCUCCACGUUACAGACAUUUUCCACAAAGAAUAAAACUGAUGAUAUUUCCUCCACCAAUAACAUAGUUCUUGACAAAGCAAAUAUACACAGAAAACCUCAGAAUAAUGAACCAUUAUUGCAUUCAAACCAUGCUGAAUAUAUUUAUGAGACAAACCUUCAACUUAUGAAUGAAUUGUGUGGUUUUACCAUUAAAAGAGUUAGCAGUGUCCUUGGUGAUGGAGGGCUUGGUGUCCAGGUGACUUCAGGUUAUGUUCCACCAAACAGUAUUGUGGCCAUGUAUCCAGGUGUGAUCUACAAGCCGUAUGAACCACUGUUUUUUCAGAGUCUGUCCAACUCAUUCAUUUUCCGCUGUAUUGAUGGUUUCCACAUCGAUGGUAAUGACAAGAAUCUCUCCAAGUUUCUCUACAGAUCAUGCAGCCAAAGAGAUCGGAUUGGUCCUUAUGAGACAUGUGAUGUAACAUGGCUGACUCCUCAUCCUGUAAACCCAUUAGCUGUUGGCCAGUAUGUCAACAAUCAGUCAAAAAGAUUCCCAGCUAAUGUGGUGUACCAGGAGUUUGACAUCCCCCGGGACUGGCCUCUGCAAUUGAGACGGUUCAUACCAAAUGUACACUACAACUCUGGUCUAGAUGACCCCACAAUUGAAAGCAGUGUCAGUAUGUGUUGGUGGUCCGGGUAUGCAUCUUUCCAACACAUAAGGCUCUUGUUGGAGUUUAGUCUACCUUUAAACAGCAACUGAAUGAACGAAUGCUUUCAAAUUCUGAACCAACAACAGCAGCCAUUAGGUGUCACACACAGGCAGACUAGAGUCAUAGUGUUGGUGUCACUUAGAACUAUCCAGUGUGGAGAAGAACUUUUUUCUACAUAUUUCACAAUUGUGCACUGACUUGCUUGGAGAUGUCUUCUAGUUGCUGUGAUACAAUAUUGUUUUUUAGUGUCAAAUGAUGAAUUUGAAAAAAUCAACAUUAUAUUAAGGACUAAAUUCUAGUGGACUCUCAGGCCAAAGAGUGCUGUGUUGCAUUUUGACACAUCUUUCUCAUCUUCUACUUUCUGACCAUCAUUCUCAUCUAUCACCCUCUGGCCAUCUUUCUCCUUAUUUUAAUACAAAAAAAGUCCAAAAUAUUCUGUUAUCACAAUGUGUUUCAAUGUGCUUUAUCAUUGUGGUUACUUUCAUCUUAAAUCCAAACUGUCUGCUAAAAUUAUCACUAUAGAUACCAGUUGAAGCACAGGUUAACUGCAAGGGCAAGCACCAAUAAUAACUUAAUUGAAAUAGAGUUUCUACAUUUUAAAGAAAACCUGGGUUGUUAAGGAUAUGUAAGAAAUAGAAUACUACACUUGUGUCCAUUGGAUACGAUUUAUCAUACAAUUUGAUGCUUAAAGACAUGUCCAUCUCAUUUUCAUUUGUUAGAUACAAUUUCAAAGAGCUCAUAAAAUAAAUGGUAUCCAAUGACAACUCAUGUAUUAUUUUUCUUGUUUAUCUGUUUAUUUCCCCAUUGGUCACUGAGAACAUAUCAUUCAUUGGUGUAACAUACUAUGUGAUCGGGCAGUUUAGCAUAUACUAACCAUUAACUAAAUAUGAUGUCAUCAUAACUUUGGCAAACAUGUAAAACAACAUGAUUUAAAUUACAUUUAUGUGUAUUAUUUCCUGUGUUAAAUUUGCAAUAAAAUUUAGAUAACAAACUAAAA